rnacentral:rRNA from 1 species
GACGAACGCUGGCGGCGUGCCUAAUACAUGCAAGUCGAGCGGACGAUUCGAAAGCUUGCUUUUGAAUCGUUAGCGGCGGACGGGUGAGUAACACGUGGGCAACCUGCCCUGUAGACGGGGAUAACACCGAGAAAUCGGUGCUAAUACCGGAUAACACGAAAUGUCGCAUGACGUUUCGUUGAAAGGCGGCGCAAGCUGCCGCUACAGGAUGGGCCCGCGGCGCAUUAGCUAGUUGGUGAGGUAACGGCUCACCAAGGCGACGAUGCGUAGCCGACCUGAGAGGGUGAUCGGCCACACUGGGACUGAGACACGGCCCAGACUCCUACGGGAGGCAGCAGUAGGGAAUCUUCCGCAAUGGACGAAAGUCUGACAGAGCAACGCCGCGUGAGCGAAGAAGGCCUUCGGGUCGUAAAGCUCUGUUGUUAGGGAAGAACAAGUAACGUAGUAACUGACGUUACUAUGACGGUACCUAACGAGAAAGCCACGGCUAACUACGUG